rfam:Picea glauca, whole genome shotgun sequence.
GAAAUGGUGUCUUUAGACACCACCAUUUCUAUGAGAUCAUUUGUU